rnacentral:rRNA from 2 species
UGGGGAAUAUUGGGCAAUGGGCGAAAGCCUGACCCAGCGACGCCGCGUGAGGGAAGAAGGUCUUCGGAUUGUAAACCUUAAUAACAGGGAAGAAGAAAGUGACGGUACCUGUGGAAAAGCCACGGCUAACUACGUGCCAGCAGCCGCGGUAAUACGUAGGUGGCAAGCGUUAUCCGGAUUUACUGGGUGUAAAGGGUGUGUAGGCGGAAUUGCAAGUCAGAUGUGAAAAUUACGGGCUCAACCUGUAACCUGCAUUUGAAACUGCAUUUCUUGAGUGUCGGAGAGGUAAAUGGAAUUCCCAGUGUAGCGGUGAAAUGCGCAGAGAUUGGGAGGAACAUCGGUGGCGAAGGCGAUUUACUGGACGACAACUGACGCUGAAACACGAAAGCGUGGGGAGCAAACAGG